rfam:Homo sapiens chromosome 1, GRCh38 reference primary assembly.
GCCGGGCGUAGUGGCGUGCGCCCGUAAUCCCAGCUAUUCAGGAGGCUGAGGCAGGAGAGUCGCUUGCACCCGGGAGGCAGAGGUUGCAGUGAGCUGAGAUUGCGCCACUGCACUCCAGCCUGGGUGACAGAGUGAGACUCUGUCUCAA